rnacentral:rRNA from 1 species
UACGGAGGGUGCAAACGUUGCUCGGAAUUAUUGGGCGUAAAGCGCACGUAGGCGGCUCGUUAAGUCGGAUGUGAAAUGCCUCGGCUCAACCGAGGACGUGCAUUCGAAACUGGCGAGCUUGAGUAUGGAAGAGGGUCGCGGAAUUCCCGGUGUAGAGGUGAAAUUCGUAGAUAUCGGGAGGAACACCAGUGGCGAAGGCGGCGACCUGGGCCAAUACUGACGCUGAGGUGCGAAAGCGUGGGGAGCAAACAGG